GUAGUCGUAGCCAAGUGGUUAAGGCGAUGGACUAGAAAUUCAUUGGGGUCUCCUCACACAGGUUUGAAUCCUGCCAACUAUG
rnacentral:tRNA from 1 species